GCUGAAACACGUCGGCGGACUGUUCGACGCCGACCGCUGCUGUCACUGUGAAAGCUCAGCAAGGGAUUCAGUGGGAUUUCUGGUAGCAGUUUAGCUCGCAUCACUCAGCUGGAACUAUCUGUGGUCAGUAGCUGAUUAUGGCCGCCGCGUUUAAUCGGAGCAUUGUAAACCGCCUUCGUGAUUUCUAGUCGGGUAUGGUAUAGCCCACUAGCUUCCUAAAAGCAAGAAGGCUAACACACGAAUUGUGACAAUACUCUGCGAGCGCCCACUGCUACGAGCAUUAGUACGCCUCUCCGUAGGAUACUAUGGCCUUUUUCGUUAUGCGAUAGCGUCUGCACAAUGUGAUAAAGACUGUUUAGGCUUCAACUGAAAUCUCUAGAGCGAAUGCUGUUAAACGUGUCAGAAUCGUUGGGAAAGAAGAAGUGAAAG